UGCGAAGGCAAGCGGAUCUCUUAAAGCCGUUCUCAGCUCGGACUGUAGGCUGCAACUCGCCUACACGAAGCUGGAAUCGCUAGUAAUCGCGGAUCAGCACGCCGCGGUGAAUACGUUCCCGGGCCUUGUACACACCGCCCGUCACACCAUGAGAGUCUGUAACACCCAAAGCCGGUGGGAUAACCUUUAUAGGAGUCAGCCGUCUAAGGUAGGACAGAUGAUUAGGGUGAAGUCGUAACAAGGUACC
rnacentral:rRNA from 1 species